GACGAACGCUGGCGGCGUGCCUAAUACAUGCAAGUUGAGCGCUGAAGGGAGGUACUUGUACCAACUGGGUGAGCAGCGGACGGGUGAGUAACGCGUGGGGAAUCUGCCUUUGAGCGGGGGACAACAUUUGGAAACGAAAGCUAAUACCGCAUAAAAACUUGAAACACAAGGUUUAAGAGUGAAAGAUGCACUUGCAUCACCUAAUAGUGAUCCCGCGUUGUAUUAGCUAGUUGGGGAGGGUAAGGCCCACCCAGGCCAUGGUACAUAGCCGACCUGAGAGGGGGGUCGGCCACCUCUGGACCUGGACACGGCCCAAGCUCCUUCGGGAGGCAGCCGUAGGGGAUCUUCGGCAAUUGGCGGAAGUCUGACCGGGCAACGCCGCGUGGGGGAAUAAGGGUUUCGGGUCGUAAAACUCCGUUUGUAGGGAAGAACCAUGUUUGUAAUGGAAUGCUCAUCAAGUGACGGUAACUACCCAGAAAGGGACGGCUAACUACGUG
rnacentral:rRNA from 1 species